rnacentral:tmRNA from 1 species
GGGGCUGACAUAGCUUCGACGUUUGGACCUUUACAAGCUACUUCGCAAGUCGAUCAACUGACGUAAUCAGUUUUUAUAACUGCAAAAUCUUUUGCUAAGAGCGUUCCAAGUGUAUUUGCGCAAGCAUUUGCACCUGCUUACGCUCGCCAAGCUGCCUAAUUAAUUAGCGGCCAUCGGUUGCUUGAUGCUCGGAUAGAGCAUACCGGUGCCAUACUUCAUCCGGCUUGAAUGGCUACUGUUCCAUAGGGGUAGUCGUUGACAUUUUACCUUUGGGCGUCGGAUAGGCAUUUUUGUUUGCCUUUUAGCCUGAUGACGUAAUUUUAAGACAGACUAAGCUUGUAGACGAGUAGUAUGUAACCAGACGGACCGGGGUGCGAUUCCCCGCAGCUCCACCA